AUGAAGGUUGGUGUUAUCAUUGCAAAUGCUGGAGAAACUAUAAAGCUUAUCCAACUUCAAUCAGGGGCAAAGAUCCAAGCUGAUGCUGGCCCAUAUGGCACUAUCUCUAAUUGGAAGUACAAUGCACCUCAACCUAGUGUUGAGCAAUUCCAGAUGCAAAUUGCUAACAAGGUCUAG
rnacentral:rRNA from 1 species